rnacentral:rRNA from 1 species
UACAGAGGUCCCGAGCGUUUGUUCGGAUUCACUGGGCGUAAAGGGGUGCGUAGGUGGCGAGGGUAAGUCGGAUGUGAAAGCUCGGAGCUCAACUCCGAAAUGGCAUUGGAAACUACCUUGCUCGAGGGUUGGAGGGGGGACUGGAAUGCGUUGGUGUAGCAGUGAAAUGCGUAGAUAUCAAGCGGAACACCAGUGGCGAAGGCGA